GGGACUUGAAAGGCACCAGAUCGCCUUGGGCUGCUGGCCGCCAGUGGGGAUGGGGUUUCUGGGUGGGGGCACUGAGAAGAGAGACCCCUGCCAGGUGUUUGUGGUUUCAAGGCCAGGCGUGGGGCCCCUGGAGCUAAGGGGCCGCCAGGCCUGGGCGCACAUGUUUGCCUCUCCCGAAGUGCAAUAACACCCUUCUGACUGGGGCAGUGCGAAGCCAGCGCCGACCUUGCAAACUCGGGGCUUCCCGGGCAGAGGAGCCGCCCACCCGCCCGAUGGAUGGAUGCACGUGGCCAGGCAGACGCUUUCUGCUGACUUCCUUGACAUGCGUUCAGUUAGAAAACGGCACGGAGAAGGACACAGACGUGACUCAUAAUCCCACCUUCCAAAGUUGACCACGAUUUCUCUGCUGGUUGCUGGUGGGACAGCUACCACAGCAUGGUGUGUCAAGCGGUGCCAUAUCCACACCUGGGAUCCGAAUCGGCGAACCCUGGCCUGCCAAGAAGCGGAACGUGCAAACUUAACUGCUGCGCCACUGGGCCGGCCCCUUGUGUUCCAUAUAAUUUUGAAAAGAAUCUGUAUUUCAAAUUGUUGGGUACAGUGUUACAUCUCUAUAUGCCCGUUCUGUCAAGCUUGUUGAUUGUCUUUCCAAAUCCGUAUCCUUACACAUGUCUUUUCUGCUUGAUUCAUCACUUACUGAGAGAGGGGUUUUAAAGUCUCCUACCCACUAUGGUGAUCAAUUGAUUUCCCCUUGCAGGGUUUUUUUUUUUUUUUUUGGUGAGGAAGAUUAGCCCUGAGCUAACAUCUGUGCCAAUCUUCCUCUAUUUUGUAUGUGGGAUGCCUCCACAGCAUGACUGAUGAGUGGAGCAGGUCCGCACCCUGGGGUCUGAACCUGUGAACCUGGGCUGCUGAAGCAGAGCCCACAGAACUUUAACCAUUUGGCUACAGGGCCAGCCCCCUCUUCUUGUGGUUUUUGCCUGGCACAUAAUUUUCAUCCUUUGCCUUUAAGCCUUUCUGAAUUCUUAUAUUUUAACUGC
rnacentral:lncRNA from 1 species